UACGGAGGGGGCUAGCGUUGUUCGGAAUUACUGGGCGUAAAGGGCGCGUAGGCGAUUUUGUAAGUCUUGUGUGAAAGCCCAAAGCCUAACUUUGGAAGUGCACAAGAUACUGCGAGAAUUGAGUUCCGGAGAGGAAGAUGGAAUUCCCGGUGUAGCGGUGAAAUGCGUAGAUAUCAGGAAGAACACCUAUGGCGAAGGCAGCUCUCUGGGACGGUACUGACGCUGAGACGCGAAAGCGUGGGGAGCGAACAGG
rnacentral:rRNA from 1 species